rfam:Brachypodium distachyon strain Bd21 chromosome 1, whole genome shotgun sequence.
UCCGUACUCCCUCCGUCCAACAAAAAAUGUUUCAAGUUUGUCAAAAUUUGAAUAUAUCUAGACAUGACUUAGUAUAUAGAUGCAUUCAAAUUUAGUCAAAGUUGAAAUAUCUUUUGUUGGACGGAGUAAAUAGCAA